CCUCCUUUCUUCCUCAUUUAUUAAUAUUUUUCAAUUUUCUUAAGCCUGAACCAGCCAAGUCGCGUGAGGGAUGAAGGUUCUAUGGAUCGUAAACCUCUUUUAUAAGGGAAUAAAGUGUGGGACGUGUCCUAUCUUGUAUGUACCUUAUGAAUAAGGAUCGGCUAACUCCGUGCCAGCAGCCGCGGUAAUACGGAGGAUCCGAGCGUUAUCCGGAUUUAUUGGGUUUAAAGGGUGCGUAGGCGGCCUUUUAAGUCAGCGGUGAAAGUCUGUGGCUCAACCAUAGAAUUGACGUUGAACAUGGGGGGCUUGAGUAUGUUUGAGGCAGGCGGAAUGCGUGGUGUAGCGGUGAAAUGCUUAGAUAUCACGCAGAACCCCGAUUGCGAAGGCAGCCGGCCAAGCCAUGAAUGAAGCUGAUGCACGAAAGAGUGGGGAUCAAACAGGAUUAGAUAAAAUUGUAGUC
rnacentral:rRNA from 1 species